GAUUUUGAUCCUGGCUCAGGACGAACGCUGGCGGUGCGCCUAAUGCAUGCAAGUCGAACGGGCAAAGGGGCUUCGGCCCCCUAGCUAGUGGCAGACGGCUGAGUAACACGUAAGUGAUCUGCCCCGGAAAGGGGGAUAAGCCGGAGAAAUCCGGUCUAAUACCCCGUACGCUCUCUAAGUUAUGGCGUAAAGAGGAAAGGCUCCGGCGCUCUGGGAGGAGCUUGCGGCCUAUCAUGGUAGUUGGUGGGGUAACAGCCUACCAAGCCGAAGACGGGUAACCGGUGUGAGAGCACGAUCGGUCAGAGGGGGACUGAGACACGGCCCCCACUCCUACGGGAGGCAGCAGCAGGGAAUCUUGCGCAAUGGGCGAAAGCCUGACGCAGCGACACCGCGUGGGGGAUGAAGGCUUUCGAGUUGUAAACCCCUUUUCUCGGGGAUGAGAAAGGACAGUACCCGGGGAAUAAGGUUCGGCUAACUACGUGCCAGCAGCCGCGGUAACACGUAGGAACCAAGCGUUGUCCGGAUUUACUGGGCGUAAAGUGCGCGUAGGCGGUCCGUUAAGUCUCAUGUGAAAUCUCCCGGCUCAACUGGGAGGGGUCAUGGGAUACUGGCAGACUUGAGUACAGCAGAGGGGAGCGGAAUUCCCGGAGUAGUGGUGGAAUGCGUAGAUACCGGGAGGAACACCAGAGGCGAAGGCGGCUCCCUGGGCUGUAACUGACGCUAAGGCGCGAAAGCGUGGGUAGCAAACCGGAUUAGAUACCCUGGUAGUC
rnacentral:rRNA from 1 species